rnacentral:rRNA from 1 species
GGCCGCAGUAUUUUGACUGUGCAAAGGUAGCAUAAUCAUUAGUCUUUUAAUUAAGGGCUGGUAUGAAUGGUUGGACGAGGUAAAUUCUGUUUUAUAUUAAUUGAAGUUGAAAUUAGAUUUUAAGUAAAAAGACUUAAAUGUUAUUAAGGGACGAGAAGACCCUAUAGAGUUUAAUAUAUUUAGUAAUUAAUUGAGUUAAUAAUUAAUUUUUGGUUUUUAUGAAAUUUAUUUAAUUGGGGUGAUUGGAAGAUAUAUAAAACUCUUUUUUAAAUUUAAUAUUGUUAAUAGUUUUAAGAUCCAUUAAUAAUGAUUAAAAGAUUAAAUUACCUUAGGGAUAACAGCAUAA